GUUUUAAUAAUUUAAUAUAAAAUAUUGGUCUUGUAAACCAAUAAUAAGAAAAAAAUAUUCUUUUAAAACU
rnacentral:tRNA from 1 species